UACGUAGGGUGCAAGCGUUAAUCGGAAUUACUGGGCGUAAAGCGUACGCAGGCGGCUAUGUAAGACAGGUGUGAAAUCCCCGGGCUUAACCUGGGAACUGCAUUUGUGACUGCAUAGCUAGAGUCUGUCAGAGGGGGGUGGAAUUCCACGUGUAGCAGUGAAAUGCGUAGAUAUGUGGAGGAAUACCGAUGGCGAAGGCAGCCCCCUGGGAUAACACUGACGCUCAUGCACGAAAGCGUGGGGAGCAAACAGG
rnacentral:rRNA from 1 species